CACAGACACACACACUUCACCUCCCGUUAUCCGUCUCUCGCCGCCGCCUCCUCCUUAAAAAAUCCGUACACAGCGGAUCUAUCCGAAGCAAUCACAGCAGCAUGAUUAAAAACCCUUCCACACGCACGAAGCAGAAAGCUCGCUGUGGAUGUUCCCGAAAAGGGAAUUCACCCGCGCCGACAAACGCACUUUCUGCUCCGCUGCAAUGUGCAUUUCGGUACUUCCUUUCGCGGUCUUAAUAACGUUUCCCGGCUUGUCUUCAGCGUCCGAGUCCGCUGGGCGUGAGGUUGUGGAGCUACGGUAUAUAUGAAUGUGAAAGGCAAGUCAGCCCCCCCCCCCACAGAGAAAACAACGAUUCGAUAAGGUCACCCCUGGGAACAGACUGCUUUGGGACACCCACCUGCUGGGGGUGUCGUGAUAUAAUGAUUCAGGGAAGUUAGCCGGUUCUGUACAGGGUCACUUCGCCUGUGACCAGUGCUGUCCCACCUCUGUCCAGUUCAAGUCUCCAGUGCAGGAUAUCCAAACAGCCACAGUCAAGGGUCACCAAUCAGGACUACUGUUUUUUUGUUUUGUUUUUUCCAGUGUAGGCUUCCUGUUUUGGAGGGUCAGACACUGCAAUCCAGUCGCUGAAGAGCAUAGAAAGCCAAACGUCUGUCAAAAUAAGAGUUCAACAGAAUUGGUGGACUGAAAAGCGAAUGCAAAGUUUUGCAGCGGGGGAGGUAUUUACUGUUGCACAGGGCUCUGAAAGAAAGACAUCUGCCAAACUGUUACACUGGCUUGAUGGUUGCUACUGUACAUCCAUUGCUACACCCAUAAAGCUACAGGCACAGGGCUGAAUUCAUCAUCCCAAACCCACCCCUGACUGAACAAAUGAAGGAUACGAGGGCAGCUGGGAGAGAGACUGACAGACUGGCUUCUGGAAAGGCCCUGCAGGCCAGCAGCGUGUGAUGGCACCGCGUGGUGCAGGGUUCACUGGGAACAGCCCGCCACCCUCUCACGGGCCGCAGUGGAGCGGAGGAGCGGAGGAGCACCCCACAGCAGUCUGUCCAGAGGCUGAUCGGGUGCGUGUGUCAGUGCUGUCGUGAUCGUGUUAGUGCUCAGGGAGAACAAAACCCGUCACC